rnacentral:lncRNA from 1 species
GAUAAGCAUAAGAAAAGCAAAUCGAAGAGAAGAGAAACAACGCAACAAUUGGAAAAAAAAAUGGCGUCUAAGGCUAUCUUCUCCACAAUCCGCCGAUCUCUAACGAAACCACGCGGCGGCGCAGUUUCCCGAGGCCACCACUUGUCCACCUCCGCCGCGACGGCGUCCGAAUCCUACGCAGGCGACGAACACGCGAUCGUGAUGAAAGGAGUUCGAAUCUCAGGCAGGCCUCUCUACCUCGAUAUGCAGUCGACGACCCCGCUCGACCCCAGAGUCUUCGACGCGAUGAACGCCUCUUCCAUCUACGACUACGGGAACCCGCACUCGCGCACGCAUCUCUACGGCUGGGAAGCGGAGAACGCCGUCGAGGUGGCUCGAAUCCAGGUCGCGAAGCUCAUCGGCGCCUCGCCGAAGGAGAUCGUGUUCUUGUCCGGCGCCACGGAGGCGAACAACACGGUGGUGAAGGGCGUGAUGCACUUCUACAAGGACAAGAAGAGGCACGUGAUCACCACGCAGACUGAGCACAAGUGCGUUCUCGACUCGUGCAGGCAUUUGCAGCAGGAAGGCUUCGAGGUAACGUACUUGCCGGUUAAAACCGACGGUUUAGUUGAUUUAGAGAUGCUGAGAGAUUCUAUUAGACCGGAUACCGGUUUAGUUUCGGUUAUGGCUGUGAACAAUGAGAUUGGCGUGGUGCAACCUAUGGAGGAGAUUGGUAGGAUUUGCAAGGAGCAUAAGAUCCCGUUUCAUACCGAUGCUGCUCAAGCUAUAGGGAAGAUACCUGUUGAUGUUGAGAAGUGGAACGUUAGUUUCAUGUCGAUGAGUGGGCACAAGAUCUACGGACCGAAAGGUGUUGGUGCUAUGUACGUUAGAAGGAGGCCGAGGGUGAGGCUCGAGCCGUUGAUGAACGGUCCGGUGAGUUGCCGCCGUAUCUAUGCUAUGGGAAGAAACUUGAAAAGCUAAUUAGUUUCAGUAAUCAGUUAAGCGGCGAGAUCCCGGAAACUUACGGUGAGUGCGACUCGCUUAAUUAUAUUAGAAUGGCGGAUAACAAACUCUCCGGCGAAGUUCCGGUUAGGUUUUCGGAGCUUCCUCUUACUCGUCUCGAGCUAUCCAACAACCGAUUACAAGGUUCGAUUCCUCCGUCGAUAUCCAAAGCUCGUCAGCUCUCUCAGCUCGAAAUCUCCGGAAACAAGUUCUCCGGUGCGAUUCCGGUGAGAAUCUGUGAUCUCGGAGGACUCAGGGUCGUCGAUCUCAGCCGUAACCGUUUCUCAGGAUCUAUCCCGUCUUGCAUUAACAGAUUGAAGAAUCUGGAGAGAUUGGAGAUGCAGGAGAACAUGCUCGACGGCGAGAUCCCGAGUUCGGUGAGUUCAUGCGCCAAGUUAACCGAGUUGAAUCUCUCCGAUAACCGCCUCCGCGGCGGAAUCCCACCGGAGCUCGGGGAAUUACCGGUUUUGAACUAUCUGGAUCUCUCCAACAACCAACUCACCGGCGAGGUUCCGGCGGAGUUGUUGAAGCUGAAGCUUAAUCAGUUCAACGUCUCCGAUAACAAACUCUCCGGCAAGAUCCCUUCUGGUUUUCAACAAGAUAUUUUUCUACCGAGUUUUUUGGGUAACCCGGAUCUCUGCGCCCCGGAUAUGGAUCCGAUUCGACCUUGCCGAUCCAAACCCGAGCCCCGGUUUAUCCUUUUUAUCUCCGUCGUCUGCAUCGUUGCACUAAUCGGAGCUUUGGUUUGGCUUUUUAUCAAAACCAAACCGUUAUUCCAGAGAAAACCGAACCGGACCGAUAAAGUAACCAUUUUCCAGCGGAUCGGGUUCACAGAGGAAGACAUAUACCCGCAAUUAACAGAAGAUAACAUAAUCGGGUCGGGCGGGUCGGGUUUGGUUUACAGAGUGACACUCAAAUCAGGCCAAACGCUCGCGGUGAAGAAACUUUGGGGUGGACCGGGUCAUAAACCCGAAUCCGAAUCCGUUUUCAGAUCCGAGGUAGAGAUUCUGGGUCGGGUCAGACAUGGUAACAUAGUGAAGCUUCUCAUGUGCUGCAGCGGCGAAGAGUUUCGGUUUCUAGUGUACGAGCAUAUGGAAAACGGCAGCUUGGGCGACGUUUUGCAUUCAGAGAAAGAACAUCGCGCCGUUUCUCCGCUGGAUUGGACGACAAGGUUUUCGAUCGCGCUUGGUGCAGCUCAAGGACUUGCUUAUCUACAUCAUGACUCUGUUCCGGCGAUUGUUCACCGUGACGUCAAAAGCAAUAAUAUAUUGUUGGACCAUGAGAUGAAGCCACGUGUUGCUGAUUUCGGUUUGGCUAAACCGUUGAAAAGAGAAGACAAUAAUGGUGUCUUUGAUGUUUCUCCUAUGUCUUGUGUUGCUGGAUCCUACGGCUACAUUGCUCCAGGUUCGAAUUCUAAAUGCUAAACCGAAAUAACAAAUAUUUUUUACUGUUAUUUUUUAUUCUGUUGUUGUGAUUGCACAUGCAGAAUAUGGUUAUACGUCGAGAGUGAAUGAGAAGAGCGAUGUGUAUAGUUUCGGUGUCGUGUUACUCGAAUUGAUUACGGGUAAAAGGCCAAAUGAUUCUUCGUUUGGGGAGAAUAAAGACAUUGUUAAGUUUGCAAUGGAGUCAGCUUUGUCUUACUCUUCUCCAUCACCUGAAGACAAAGCUAUGAAUCAAGAUUCACUUGGAAAUUUUCGAGAUCUUCGCAAGGUUGUGGAUCCAAAGAUGGAACUUUCUACGAGGGAAUAUGAAGAGGUAGAGAGAGUUCUCGAGAUUGCAUUACUUUGCACGUCUUCGUUUCCUAUUAGUAGGCCGACCAUGAGGAAAGUAGUAGAGCUGCUCAAAGAGAAGAAGCCACUUGAGUGAGACGGUGCUCGUUUCUUCAUCUGGUUUUAAUACUAAGAUUGUUACUUAAUCAUAGGUGGGCUACUGGAAAACUAAUUUUAAAAACUUAAAUAGCUAGUUAUCUUUUUUUUUGUUAAUUUAAAGAUUAAGAAGCAUGGACUAAGCUAUAAGAUUUUGCAAACUUUAAAUUUAAUAGUCUAAAAGACAAUUAUUGUUGAUGUUCUCGAUAAACCAAUAUACGAGGCAGAUAUAUGUACCAAUCCUCUUCGAAUAAACAGCGUUGGUGUAACUCAUGCUCCAAAAGCAUUUUGCAUCACCAUCAAGAGUGUUUUUGCUUCAAGAGGGAUCUAUGUUCAAGUUUAUUCCAAGACUUACAUUGAAGACAAAUGCCGAUGUUUGAAUUGUUAGUACCUUCUACUCUUGCUCGUUUUAUCUUAAAUUAAUCAAGAGUUUUAUUGACGUUAAUCUAAAGAUAUGAUAGCUUUUGUAGUCCAAUUAAUAAUCUCAUUAAAGAUUCAUGUUAAAAUUGAGUUCAAAUUUCAGAAAGACGAUUCAUUUACCCAUUAUACCACCAGUUAAAUAAGAACUUAACAUUUUUUUGGUUAUAGUAAAAAUAUAAUUUUAGACAAUUGAUCUUCAUAAAUCAGUUAAUAGAUAUACAUAUACAAUUGUAAUAUGUAAAUUUUCAUAAGACAUAUGUCAGUUGUAGAGUUCAUGAUAGCAUAAAUAAAAAUGCUAAACAUGAAUUUUUACAGUUGUCCAGUUUAGAAUGUAAUAAUAAUAAAUAUAAAUUAAUGUUGGAAACACAAAUGUUUUUCUUUUACAAACUAAAAAAACUCUUGGGCCAAAGAAUAUGGUAUUGGGCAGUAACAUCUGGCCCAUUAGAUAUCCACAAGCCUUCUUCUUUCAAUUUAGGGCUCCAGAGACGACCACGUCGCCUCUGUCACGAAACCGCCAGUGACGCUAUCGUCUUUCACAUCCGAUAAGCAUAAGAAAAGCAAAUCGAAGAGAAGAGAAACAACGCAACAAUUGGAAAAAAAAAUGGCGUCUAAGGCUAUCUUCUCCACAAUCCGCCGAUCUCUAACGAAACCACGCGGCGGCGCAGUUUCCCGAGGCCACCACUUGUCCACCUCCGCCGCGACGGCGUCCGAAUCCUACGCAGGCGACGAACACGCGAUCGUGAUGAAAGGAGUUCGAAUCUCAGGCAGGCCUCUCUACCUCGAUAUGCAGUCGACGACCCCGCUCGACCCCAGAGUCUUCGACGCGAUGAACGCCUCUUCCAUCUACGACUACGGGAACCCGCACUCGCGCACGCAUCUCUACGGCUGGGAAGCGGAGAACGCCGUCGAGGUGGCUCGAAUCCAGGUCGCGAAGCUCAUCGGCGCCUCGCCGAAGGAGAUCGUGUUCUUAUCCGGCGCCACGGAGGCGAACAACACGGUGGUGAAGGGCGUGAUGCACUUCUACAAGGACAAGAAGAGGCACGUGAUCACCACGCAGACUGAGCACAAGUGCGUUCUCGACUCGUGCAGGCAUUUGCAGCAGGAAGGCUUCGAGGUAACGUACUUGCCGGUUAAAACCGACGGUUUAGUUGAUUUAGAGAUGCUGAGAGAUUCUAUUAGACCGGAUACCGGUUUAGUUUCGGUUAUGGCUGUGAACAAUGAGAUUGGCGUGGUGCAACCUAUGGAGGAGAUUGGUAGGAUUUGCAAGGAGCAUAAGAUCCCGUUUCAUACCGAUGCUGCUCAAGCUAUAGGGAAGAUACCUGUUGAUGUUGAGAAGUGGAACGUUAGUUUCAUGUCGAUGAGUGGGCACAAGAUCUACGGACCGAAAGGUGUUGGUGCUAUGUACGUUAGAAGGAGGCCGAGGGUGAGGCUCGAGCCGUUGAUGAACGGUGGAGGGCAAGAGAGGGGGCUUAGGAGCGGGACGUUGGCUACGCAGCAGGUUGUUGGGUUUGGGGUUGCUUGUGAGUUGGCGAUGAAGGAGAUGGAGUAUGAUGAGAAGUGGAUCAAGAGGUUGCAGGAGAGGUUGCUGAAUGGGGUUAGGGAGAAGCUCGAUGGGGUUGUGGUGAACGGUUCGUUGGAGAGUCGGUAUGCUGGGAAUUUGAAUCUGUCGUUUGCUUAUGUUGAAGGAGAGAGUUUGUUGAUGGGUUUGAAGGAAGUUGCGGUGUCUAGUGGAAGUGCUUGCACGAGUGCGAGUUUGGAGCCGUCUUAUGUGUUGAGAGCUUUGGGUGUGGAUGAGGAUAUGGCUCACACUUCGAUUAGGUUUGGAAUCGGUAGGUUUACUACGGAGGAAGAGAUUGAUAAAGCCGUGGAGCUUACGGUUAAACAAGUUGACAAGUUGAGGGAGAUGAGCCCGCUUUAUGAGAUGGUUAAAGACGGUAUUGAUAUCAAGAACAUACAGUGGUCUCAGCACUGAUUCAGCUCAAACCAGUGCGGUACAAGAGGGAAGCUCGGGUCUCCGGUUGUACCGGGUGAUCUGAUCCUGAGUUGUUACUAUGUUAUGUUGGUAAUUUAUCUAUGUUUGCUUUCUAGAUAGAUUACAAGUGAGAGAGUGUCGUUAUAUGGUUUUGUAAUAACCAGAGCACGAACUAAACUCUAAGUUUCUAUGUUGGACUUGCAGAAUAAGUAAGGCGAAAACGUUAAUGUAACGGUCCAUUUAUUAAUAUCUUAUUCGUGUUAAAGUGUAUACUCUGCACUUCUCAAAUCAAAGGCAGACUCUGCUGCACCUGUUCCACUCUCUAAGCUUUACUGAUAGUUACUUAGAUGGAACAAGCAGCGUGUAUCUAGAGGAGCUACAAAGAGCAAUCCCAACAUUGUUGAUGAGUCGUGGGAUAACUUGUUUAAAAAAUUCGUGGACCAAGCUGAUACAUCGCCUGGAAUCUCGGGGCAAACCAUUCAAGAAAGCAUGCGUUUGUUGUUGCUUGUCAGAGCUUACCAGGUUAAUGGUCACAUGAAGGCCAAGCUCGACCCUUUGGGACUAGAGGAAAGAGAGAUUACAGAGGAUCCCACGCCUGGUCUCUUAAGGAGCAAACUGUUCUUGUUCGAGCUCUUCAACGUGAGCCCAUGGCAUCACCCCUGCCCUCCCUUAGAUGAUCCAUUGCAAAAGAAUUAACAGCUUGAGCUCUUGAGAAUCUGAACAAAUAAGAGAGAACAAAUCCAUAAUAGAAAAAAUAUAUAUAAAUAAGUAGUUUAGUGCACUGGUUUGAAUAAAUCCAUGUAAACUGUCAGUAUUAUCAUAAAUCGUAGAAGAUUCAAGAAAGGUGUUUGUAAAUAAUUCUUAUUUUGGGUUAAAAGUUGUAAUACUGGCAAACAAGAUAUAUGGGUUGGCUAUACACCAAAACACAUCUGUCAAGUUACUAAAAGAGAGAGAUCUUCAAGAAUCAUUCUCUCAGUAUUUUAAUUUCAAAAAUCAUUCUCUCAAUAUUUUAACUUACAAAUACAUUAUACUCAUCUUCUAAGUGAAAGACAGCAUAGUAUGAAACUUUCAAAGGAUUAGAGUGAAUUAAGAAAAUCUAAAUUUUAAUUUAUAUAUACAGUCUUGUAAAGAGUCGAAUAAUCUUAAUUACCAUAUUUAAUCACCUAUUUUAAACUACAUAAUAAUAUUGAAAAAAAUUGGAUUUAGCCGCUUAAAACGAAUACGUGAAAGCCUUUAAAUUAAAACGCUACUACUUUCGCUGAUACUUUUUGGACUAGUUGAAUAUAAAACCAUUUUGACCUAAAAAAAAAAAAAGAAAGAGAGAGAGACUAGACUACACUGCGACCGAGUAUCUUCUUCUUCAGAUAUAUAGAGAGAGAGAAGAGACUACAGUCGCGAUUCUGAUCGUAGAUCGGUGAAAACUUUUGGCGGUUCGAUUAGUUACCGCGAUGGCGACGUCUUCUAGCUCGGAGCGAGUCCCGAGAACACCGGCUACUACCAGAUUAGCGAUUACGCCUGGGUCUAGGGUUUUGAAAAGCCCUAUCAGCGAAGAAAUCAUGUGGAAGCGUCUCAAGGAAGCUGGAUUCGAUGAACAGUCGAUCAAAAAGAGGGAUAAAGCCGCCUUAAUCGCUUACAUCGCCAAGCUCGAAUCCGAGGUUCGCUUUUUUUUCUUUCGAUUCUUCCCUAAUUUUCUUUCUCCGAUGAAAAUCUCUUGUAGAAUUACACAGUGUUUAAGGCUUUAGCGAGUGUUUUUGGGCUAGAAAUUAAAGGCUGUUAGAAGCUUGUGCCUAAUAGUUCAAUUUUGAGUUGAUAUGAAUUUGAUUUUUCCCGGCUAAGUAAGUAAGGAGAGCAACUGUUCCAUACCGUUCGUUUUGUUGAACAUUUAUUGUAUGGAAUUGGUUUUGAUGGAGAGUUAUUAUUGCUUUGCUUUUUGGAAGUCUUUAAAGUCUCGAUUUUUGUUUCUCUUUUCAGCUUUGAUUCUUUUUUAGAUUGUUUUUAUUUAUGUUGAUCGUAAUUUUGGAUGUUAGGUGUAUGAUUACCAACACAACAUGGGUCUUCUAAUCAUGGAGAAAGACGAUUUGCUGUCCAAGUAUGAGGAGGUUAAGUCCUCUGUUGAUGAAGCCGACCUUGCACAUCGGCGCGAUCUGUCUGCCUAUGUCUCCGCCUUGGCUGAAGCCAAGAAACGAGAAGAGAGUUUGAAGAAAGAUGUCGGGGUUGCUAAAGAGUGUAUCUCUAGUGUAAGUCCUUCCUUAACUUUUGAGAGCUGGCAAAAAAGGGUUUUUUUCAAUUUUUUUAAUUGAUUUUGUUUUCUUCUGUUUGUCCUCAGCUGGAGAAGACUGUGCAUGAGAUUCGUGCAGAGUGUGCCGAGACGAAAGUUUCCGCUGAGAGUAAACUGUCUGAAGGUCACAGUAUGAUUGAGGAUGCUCUCAAGAAAUUUGCAGAUGCUGAAGCAAAAAUGCGCGCAGCUGAGGCUCUACAGGCUGAAGCUAACCGGUAUCACCGGAUUGCAGAGAGAAAAUUGAAGGAAGUUGAGAGCCGUGAAGAUGAUCUUGCUCGCCGUCUUGCAUCUUUCAAGUCUGAGUAAGUUUUCUGUCUCUGUUAACUGGACUAUAAGGCAUUUGUGGUAUUAAACUGUUUUCAUUCGUUCUAUGGUUUAGGUCUGAAACAAGAGAGAGCGAGAUCGUUAUUGAGCGACAGACUCUAAGUGAGAGGCGAAAGAGCUUGCAGCAAGAGCAUGAAAGAUUAUUGGAUGCACAAGCUUCCCUAAACCAGCGAGAAGAUCACAUUUUUGGUAAAUCCCAAGAACUAGCUGAACUUCAGAAGGGGUUAGAGUCUGCAAAGAGUACAUUUGAGGAGGAACGUAGAGCCUUUGAGGACAGAAAAUCCAAUUUGGAGAUCGAGCUGGCUUCGCUUGCUAGAAGAGAAGAGGUUUGUAUACACAUAUCUUUUGUUUCUACUGCUGCUCAACACGUCAACCAAAGAACUUAUAGCAUUAUGUUUUGUUCCCUUGCAAUAACAGGCUGUCUCUGAAAGGGAAUCUUCACUACUUAAGAAAGAGCAAGAGCUGCUUGUUGCUGAAGAAAAAAUUGCCACUAAAGAAUCUGUGAGUUUACUUGUUCAUUCUAACGAACUUUGUAGUUAUCAUUCAUACUUUAGUUUGCAAGAGUUAAAAUGCUUUUAAACUAUCAAUACACAGGAGCUGAUUCAGAAGGUCUUAGCAAAUCAAGAGGUUAUCCUGAGGAAAAGAAAAUCCGAUGUGGAAGCUGAGUUGGAAAGCAGGUACAAAGCGGUGGAAGAUGAAAUCGAGAGCAAGAGACGGGCUUGGGAACUAAGAGAGGUUGAUAUCAGGCAGAGGGAAGACCUUGUUGGUGAAAAGGAACAUGACUUGGAAGUUCAGUCAAGGGCAUUGGCAGAGAAAGAAAAGGACAUAACGGAGAGGUCUUAUAAUCUUAACGAGAAAGAGAAGCAUUUGAAUGCUUUAGAGGAAGAUAUUUUUGAAAGAAAAAGUUUAAUCUAGUAUUGUAUGCUUUCAAAAGCUUCCAAUUCUGUAUACAUACAAAUUGACCAAAUUUUGAGCUUAUUUGUUCGUUUCCUAGGAUUUGAGUAUAUUAAAUAACAAUUUUAUAAAUUAAUCGGGAUAAGAAAGGAAAAAUAUCGUUGUGGACUUAUUAAAUAAUGGUAUUUUAGUGUCGUUAAAUGAUUAGCCUUUACGCGUUUCCGUCACCGCCGGACCGUCCCUUGUUAUGACCAUAUCCCUUUAGAGACUAAACAUGGCAAUUAGAAAUCACUAUUUAUACAAAAGCUGUGACAUUAUACGAAAUUAUCUUAUCAGAAACUGGAAAUCCGACAUGAGAUUGAAGAACUGAAGAAGUUGGAGAAUCUGAAAGUUGCUUUAGAUGACAUGUCCAUGGCUAAAAUGCAGCUCUCCAAUUUGGAGCGUAGCUGGGAAAAGGUUUCUGCUCUGAAGCAGAAGGUGGAGUUGCAAAAUGGAGUCAGCACUGUGAGUAAUAGCGAAGAUGGCUAUAACAACUCUUCUAUGGAAAGACAAAACGGCGCAAGCCCUUCAUCCGCAGCUCCACUUUCAUGGAUUAAACGAUACACUAAUCGGAUAUUCAAGACUUCUCCAGAGUCUCCAGAGAAAUCACCUCCAAUGCAUCAUCAUGAAGAAGAGAGAGGAUUGCCUUCAGAAAAGAUGAAGCUAGAUUCAUCGAAGGCUUACACCGAGGGGAUGUCCAUUGCAGUUGAAAGACUUGAAGCCGGAAGGAAAAGAAGAGGUAACGCAUCUGGAAAUGACUCUACUGGGCCAAGCAGUAACAAAAAGAGGAAACAUGAUGUUACCCAAAAAUCUCCUGAAGCUGAUCCCGAGAGGUAGAAUCGGAUUGCUCAAUUAACAACUUUUAUUCAUUUUUAUUUCUUAUUAUUAAAGCCUUAAUCAUUGUUCUCUCAGUGUAAUCUCAAGCCCUCGAAAUGUUCCUGAGGACAAACAUGAACUGCCACCAAGCCAAACCGAGACACCAAGUGGUACGGUAGUCAUUAGUGAAACCGUGAAGAUCACAAAAGUAACGUGUGAGACAGAGGUAAUCAACAAAGUGACAAACAUUGAUUGCUCAGAAAAUCCUUCUGACGCAGGAGCAAAGAUGGUAGAGGAGAGGAAACAAGAUAGUGAUUGCAAUCAGGUAGGUUUCACACACCCUUUUGAAAGCAAAAUGUUUCUCAUUACAUUUUCAGAAAACUUCAUAACGAAUGAAUACUCUCUCGUCUUAUGCUAUAGACCAACGUGCCAGAAACAGUGACUCAGAAGGAAGUUGAGUCUGAUAACAGAGAGGAGAAGGAUUCUGAGGAUGGUGGCAUUGUAACAUGAGUCAGGUUGAGGAAUAAUUGAUAACAGUUUUAGGAAGAAGAAAGCUGCGACAGGAGAUAUAUGCAUAUAAGGUACAUCUCAGACUUCACCAAGCAAACCCCCACACUUGAGAUAAAGCUCAUCAAAUUCGCUAACAAGAGUUCUCGUUUGUUGAUGCAGGAACUCUCAUGGAUCCUUUUGGGUUUGUUUUUAGAUAAAGAUUUGAGUAUGUAAAUGGAUUUGAUUGGUUUUUAAAACUCUGAGAUUCCAAGUGAGUAGAGUGUUGUGGUAUGUUAAGUAGGUAGGAAGAAGAGAGUAUGAUUUGUUGGUUUCUCUUGUGCUGCAUUGUGUGUCUGAGAACAUCAUUUGUUGGUUUCAAGACGGUUGAAUUCAGUUUAGGGGUUUUAUUUGCUGGUCUUGUGUUUAAGAUGUCUUUUUAGCUCAUCUCAGCACGUCUCUACUCUGCCUUUCACAUUCGCUAUAUCCAGCUACAAAAGUGGGCUGGCCCGGCCCAAAUGAUAGGGUUUCUUUCUAUCGUAGCCCAGAAUUUUAUGGGCAUACAAAUACCCAACAAAUAAAUUAGCAGUUAAUUGAAUGGCGAAAGGAGAAAUAUUCUCCAUCUGUUUCAUUUUAAAUGUCAGUUUGGGUUUGUGCACAGAAAAUAAUUAAUUUUAUAUAUUUCCUAUAUAAAAACACAAUUAUUUAUACACCUAACCAUAUUUCAAUCAAUAGAAAAAUAAAUUGUUAAAUAAAAUUCAUAAAUUUUGCAUUGAAAGUCGAAAACGACACUUAUUUUGUAACGAAAAAAUUUCUCUACGACGACACUUAAUAUGAAACGGAGGGAAUAUUUUAUAAAAGGUUUACCUUUGGGUUUUGUAAGUAAUACUUCCAAGUCCGAACAGUUCAAUUGAGCUAAACCCAAACAAAGAAGAUGUAUUAGGUUUAGUCUUUUUUAACUUGAAUCUUCUUAGACUAUAUAGUGCAAUAAUAAACUAGAUCUCUUUUAUUGUUUUUUUUGGAUGGUUUUGUCUAUAAAAUGUAUGAACAAUAAUGUGGCUAAACAUCAGAAAGCUAUGGUGGAGAUUUGGAAACAAAUUGCGUGUGAAAUGGGUGAAAAAAUCGGCAUUGAUUUGUGGGGUUUUAAGUUUAAUGAGUGACAGCUUAAUUAUUUGUUUCCAACUUGACGUCUAUUUAUUUUAAUUAUAUAUUAAUCACUAUUUAGCUUACCCAAAAACAUAAUCUAAACCGCACUGUUUUUGUCCGUUGACAGACACAUUUCCCUCCUAUCCUGGUUCAAAUCCCUAAUGCCUGAAGUCAAUCCAAAUAAUCCAGUUGUGAUAUGUUUUCUUUAUGAAAUUUAUUUGGAGUGUAAUUUUUAAGUGCUAUAUUCUUGAGGAAGAUCUUAUAUAAACUCAUUAAGCUUUUUCUUGGGCUUGCGGUUUUUUAGUGGUUUUUAGUGAGCCGUAUUAGAUGUGGGCUUUGUAAUCGUGAUGGGCCUUGGGCCUUUAUUAAAUAAACUUUGACGGAAAAAAAAAAACUCAUUAAGCUUUUUCAAAAAAAAACUCAUUAAGCUUCUAGGACAAGAGGAGACGUCGAACUCA